rnacentral:rRNA from 1 species
CGGCGAUACCCGAAUGGGGAAACCCAGUGUGAUUCGUCACACUAUCAUUAACUGAAUCCAUAGGUUAAUGAGGCGAACCGGGGGAACUGAAACAUCUAAGUACCCCGAGGAAAAGAAAUCAACCGAGAUUCCCCCAGUAGCGGCGAGCGAACGGGGAGGAGCCCAGAGCCUGAAUCAGCAUGUGUGUUAGUGGAAGCGUCUGGAAAGGCGCGCGAUACAGGGUGACAGCCCCGUACACAAAAGCGCAUGUGUUGUGAGCUCGAUGAGUAGGGCGGGACACGUGGUAUCCUGUCUGAAUAUGGGGGGACCAUCCUCCAAGGCUAAAUACUCCUGACUGACCGAUAGUGAACCAGUACCGUGAGGGAAAGGCGAAAAGAACCCCGGCGAGGGGAGUGAAAAAGAACCUGAAACCGUGUACGUACAAGCAGUGGGAGCACAGGUUUACCUGUGUGACUGCGUACCUUUUGUAUAAUGGGUCAGCGACUUAUAUUCUGUAGCAAGGUUAACCGAAUAGGGGAGCCGGAGGGAAACCGAGUCUUAAUUGGGCGUUAAGUUGCAGGGUAUAGACCCGAAACCCGGUGAUCUAGCCAUGGGCAGGUUGAAGGUUGGGUAACACUAACUGGAGGACCGAACCGACUAAUGUUGAAAAAUUAGCGGAUGACCUGUGGCUGGGGGUGAAAGGCCAAUCAAACCGGGAGAUAGCUGGUUCUCCCCGAAAGCUAUUUAGGUAGCGCCUCGUGAAUUCAUCUCCGGGGGUAGAGCACUGUUUCGGCUAGGGGGCCAUCCCGGCUUACCAACCCGAUGCAAACUGCGAAUACCGGAGAAUGUUAUCACGGGAGACACACGGCGGGUGCUAACGUCCGUCGUGAAGAGGGAAACAACCCAGACCGCCAGCUAAGGUCCCAAAGUCAUGGUUAAGUGGGAAACGAUGUGGGAAGGCCCAGACAGCCAGGAUGUUGGCUUAGAAGCAGCCAUCAUUUAAAGAAAGCGUAAUAGCUCACUGGUCGAGUCGGCCUGCGCGGAAGAUGUAACGGGGCUAAACCAUGCACCGAAGCUGCGGCAGCGACGCUUAUGCGUUGUUGGGUAGGGGAGCGUUCUGUAAGCCUGUGAAGGUGUGUCGUGAGGCAUGCUGGAGGUAUCAGAAGUGCGAAUGCUGACAUAAGUAACGAUAAAGCGGGUGAAAAGCCCGCUCGCCGGAAGACCAAGGGUUCCUGUCCAACGUUAAUCGGGGCAGGGUGAGUCGACCCCUAAGGCGAGGCCGAAAGGCGUAGUCGAUGGGAAACGGGUUAAUAUUCCCGUACUUGGUGUUACUGCGAAGGGGGGACGGAGAAGGCUAUGUUGGCCGGGCGACGGUUGUCCCGGUUUAAGCGUGUAGGUGUGUGUUCCAGGUAAAUCCGGUU